rnacentral:rRNA from 1 species
UACGGAAGGCAGCAGUGGGGAAUAUUGCACAAUGGGCGCAAGCCUGAUGCAGCCAUGCCGCGUGUAUGAAGAAGGCCUUCGGGUUGUAAAGUACUUUCAGUCGUGAGGAAGGUGUUAAGGUUAAUAACCUUAGCAAUUGACGUUAGCGACAGAAGAAGCACCGGCUAACUCCGUGCCAGCAGCCGCGGUAAUACGGAGGGUGCGAGCGUUAAUCGGAAUUACUGGGCGUAAAGGGCACGCAGGCGGUUAAUUAAGUUGGAUGUGAAAUCCCCGGGCUUAACCUGGGAAUGGCAUUCAAGACUGGUUAGCUAGAGUCCUGUAGAGGGGGUAGAAUUCCAUGUGUAGCGGUGAAAUGCGUAGAGAUGUGGAGGAAUACCGGUGGCGAAGGCGGCCCCUGGACAAAGACUGACGCUCAUGUGCGAAAGCGUGGGGAGCAAACAGGGAUUAGAU